AUGAACGCUAGCUACAGGCUUAACACAUGCAAGUCGAGGGGAAACGAUAUUGGAAGCUUGCUUCCGAUAGGCGUCGACCGGCGCACGGGUGAGUAACGCGUAUCCAACCUGCCCAUCACUUGGGGAUAACCUUGCGAAAGUAAGACUAAUACCCAAUGACGUCUCUAGAAGACAUCUGAAAGAGAUUAAAGAUUUAUCGGUGAUGGAUGGGGAUGCGUCUGAUUAGCUUGUUGGCGGGGUAACGGCCCACCAAGGCGACGAUCAGUAGGGGUUCUGAGAGGAAGGUCCCCCACAUUGGAACUGAGACACGGUCCAAACUCCUACGGGAGGCAGCAGUGAGGAAUAUUGGUCAAUGGGCGAGAGCCUGAACCAGCCAAGUAGCGUGCAGGAAGACGGCCCUAUGGGUUGUAAACUGCUUUUAUAAGGGAAUAAAGUGAGUCUCGUGAGACUUUUUGCAUGUACCUUAUGAAUAAGGACCGGCUAAUUCCGUGCCAGCAGCCGCGGUAAUACGGAAGGUCCGGGCGUUAUCCGGAUUUAUUGGGUUUAAAGGGAGCGUAGGCCGGAGAUUAAGCGUGUUGUGAAAUGUAGACGCUCAACGUCUGCACUGCAGCGCGAACUGGUUUCCUUGAGUACGCACAAAGUGGGCGGAAUUCGUGGUGUAGCGGUGAAAUGCUUAGAUAUCACGAAGAACUCCGAUUGCGAAGGCAGCUCACUGGAGCGCAACUGACGCUGAAGCUCGAAAGUGCGGGUAUCGAACAGGAUUAGAUACCCUGGUAGUCCGCACGGUAAACGAUGGAUGCCCGCUGUUGGUCUGAAUAGGUCAGCGGCCAAGCGAAAGCAUUAAGCAUCCCACCUGGGGAGUACGCCGGCAACGGUGAAACUCAAAGGAAUUGACGGGGGCCCGCACAAGCGGUGGAGCAUGUGGUUUAAUUCGAUGGUACGCGAGGAACCUUACCUGGGUUUGACAUGCACGGUGAUACCGGGGAGAUCCGGGGGUCCAGCAAUGGAACCGUGCACAGGUGCUGCAUGGCUGUCGUCAGCUCGUGCCGUGAGGUGUCGGCUUAAGUGCCAUAACGAGCGCAACCCCUCUCCUUAGUUGCCAUCAGGUGAAGCUGGGCACUCUGGGGACACUGCCACCGUAAGGUGUGAGGAAGGUGGGGAUGACGUCAAAUCAGCACGGCCCUUACGUCCGGGGCUACACACGUGUUACAAUGGCAGGUACAGAGAGACGGUUGUACGCAAGUACGAUCAAAUCCUUAAAGCCUGUCUCAGUUCGGACUGGGGUCUGCAACCCGACCCCACGAAGCUGGAUUCGCUAGUAAUCGCGCAUCAGCCAUGGCGCGGUGAAUACGUUCCCGGGCCUUGUACACACCGCCCGUCAAGCCAUGAAAGCCGGGGGCGCCUAAAGUCCGUGACCGUAAGGAGCGGCCUAGGGCGAAACUGGUAAUUGGGGCU
rnacentral:rRNA from 1 species